GUUAAAGUGAAAUGUACCAUGUCUUUUUUAAUACUAGACUGCAGUACAGCCUCCUGCCCAUGGUUGGCAGGAUGAUAGAGCAUUAUGGCGUCAGCCCGAAAGGUGGUGAUCUAUGCGAGCAGAGACUGAAGCCAAGCGAAAGUUUGGUGGAGGGUCGUCGCGGUACUGACGUGCAAAUCGUUCGUCACAUGUUCGUAUAGGGGCGAAAGACUCAUCGAACCGCCUAGUAGCUGGUUACUUCCGAAAUUUCUCUCAGGAUAGCUGCAUGUUUUUUAGUAAGGUAGUUUCGGUCGGUAGAGAUAAUGAUUAACUGUAACGGGGACGUAAUGUCCUCGCCAGGUUCUCAAACUCCUAAUGAUCGAGAGAGCGUUUUUCUUAUGUCUUAAUUGAAGAGAUGCUUUGAAUACCACAACGUGUAAGUGGGCCCUAGCUGGUAAGCAGCUCGGGCAAGAAGGGAUGAACCGAGAAUUAAGUUAAAGUGCG
rnacentral:rRNA from 1 species